rnacentral:rRNA from 1 species
AAACAUGGCUCCUUGUCUUUUAUUAUAUAGGGAGUCAGACCUGCCCAGUGAAUUUUUUUAACGGCCGCGGUACUCUGACCGUGCAAAGGUAGCAUAAUCAUUUGCCUUAUAAUUGAAGGCUAGUAUGAAUGGUUUGACAAGGGUAUAGCUGUCUCUUUCUGAUUCUAUAGAAUUUUAUUUUCAGGUGAAGAAGCCUGUGUUAAAUUAAAAGACAAGAAGACCCUAUCGAGCUUUAAAAAAAUUGAUAGAAUNNAGGAAUUAAUUNAAUUUAAAAAAUUAACUAUUAAAAAUUUUAGUUGGGGCGACUAAGGAACAAAUAAAGCUUCCUCUAUUUACGUAAAANACAUACAGGCAAUGAUCCAGAACAUUCUGAUUAAAGGAAUUAGUUACCGUAGGGAUAACAGCAUUAUCUUCUUUAAGAGCUCAUAUCGAAAAGAAGGUUUGUGACCUCGAUGUUGGACCAGAAUAUCCUAAAGAUGCAGCAGUCUUUAAAGG